CCUACGGGAGGCAGCAGUGAGGAAUAUUGGUCAAUGGACGAGAGUCUGAACCAGCCAAGUAGCGUGAAGGAUGACUUCCCUAUGGAUUGUAAACUUCUUUUAUAAAGGAAUAAAACGAGGCACGUGUGCCUUUUUGCAUGUACUUUAUGAUUCAGGAUCGGCUAAUUCCGUGCCAGCAGCCGCGGUAAUACGGAGGAUCCGAGCGUUAUCCGGAGUUAUUGGGUUUAAAGGGAGCGUAGAUGGGUUGUUAAGUCCGUUGUGAAAGGUGGCGGCUCAACCGUAAAAUUGCAAUUGAUACUGGCAGUCUUGAGUACAGUUGAGGUAGGCGGAAUUCGUGGUGUAGCGGUGAAAUGCUUAGAUAUCACGAAGAACCCCGAUUCCGAAGGCAGCUUACUAAACUGUGACUGACAUUGAUGCUCGAAAGUGUGGGUAUCAAACAGGAUUAGAUACCCCUGUAGUC
rnacentral:rRNA from 1 species